rnacentral:rRNA from 1 species
AUGGGGAAGGCGAACGGCGUCGGCGUCGGCGGCGCCGUCGACGCGGAUGUGUCGGCGGUUGGGGCGCUGGUGUGGGUGCGCCGCCCCAACGGGUCGUGGUGGCCCGGCAGGGUGGCCUCGCGCCUCGAGCUCCCCGACGGCUGCCCCGCGCCGCCCCGCUCGCCGGCCACCCCCAUCCUGCUCCUCGGCCGCCGCGACGGCCCCGCCUUAGUCGAGUGGUGCAACCUGGAGAGGAGCAAGCGCGUGAAGCCCUUCCGAUGCGGGGAGGCGGACCUGGACGACCUCAUCCGCAGGGCCGAGGAGCAGGCGGCGCGCCGCCGCAGGGCCAGCGCCGCCAGGAACGCCCGCAAGGAGGACGCCGUGCUCCAGGCCCUCGACAUCGAGCGGGCCCGCCUCCGCCUCCGCCCCAGGCCACCAAGCACCACCCCCUCCUGCCCGCCGCCGCCGCCGCCGCCGCCGCCGCCCAGGAAGCGCAAGACGCCCAACGACUCCGAGGACGACGCGCCCGCCGCCAGGCGCAUGAGGGACCUCACCGACAUCGGAUCCCCCACGAAGCCCACCACCGGCCAGAUGACAAGGAGCAGGCAGGCUCACCACGAUGCCGCCGCCGCCGCCGCCGCCAAGAGGAGCAAGCUGCCUCCUACCGUGGACCAGGUGGACAACAACCUGCCCUGCGGGGCCUUGAGGAAGAAGGACAGGUCCCGCCCGCUCUCAGAGCUCUGCAACGGGGUCAAGCCCAGCAAUGGCUUGGAUACGACGCUGGAUAAGUUCAAGCCGGAGCAAACAAAUGGUGUCAGCGGAGCCUCCUGCGUCCCGAGGCCACUCGAUGAUGCGUUCCCCCGUGGUCCUGGGGAUCAACCUGUCAAUGCCCCCAUAGUCGCCGCCGCCGCUGCCGCCGCCACGAGCAUCUUGAAAGCAGAUCAUUUGCACGCCCACCAACCAUGUGCCCCAACGAAGGCUCCUCCUACCUUGGAAUGCACCAAGCGGGCUUCGAACUGCAGCAAAGAUGGCAUGUCUUUGCAAUGUGACAGCAGAAAUCCCAAGAAGAAAACCAUGAGCUCUGCUGAGCAUGAGGGCGGCGGCAGGACCAGGAGAAGGACAACGAAGCACAAAGCGGCACCAAUCAACGAGGUUAUCCUUUUGAAGAGAAGGACGGUGAAGAGUGCCGCCGCACCUGAUGAGGAUGAUAAAAGCCUUGUUGCGAUGCUCCCUGAUGCUCUUGUCCAUGCGGCUCUGCGGCAGCGGUCUGAAAUCAAGUGCGAGCCUGAAGAGCCCUCUGGAACUAUAGGCAGGCAUCAUUCAAACGGCAAGACCGGUUCAGUACCACCUGUGGUGUCGAAGCCGGUGCUGCCCCAGCGCAGAGAUCUUAGAUGCCAUGUUGCUGUGAAGCCGACCAAGACCCUGCAGCUGAACCCGUCCCUGUACGACGUGGAAAUAAGCAGCGGGCCGGGAUGCGGCGGGGGCAGCAAGGGGCGGCACGUGCCCCUCGUGUCCCUGAUGAGCAGGUCGAGCAGGAGGCCCGUGGUUGGGUACCCGGUGUCCGUGGAGGUGCUGGAUGCCGCGUGCUGCCACCCUCCCGCCCCGAGCGUUGACGGGGUGCCGGACGCCGCCCGCCGCCACCCUCCUGCCCCGAGCGUCGACGGUGUACGGGACGCCGUGCGCUGCCACCCUCCUGCCCCGAGCGUCGCCGGGGUGCUGGACGCCACAUGCCGCCACCCACCUGCCCCGAGUGUCGACAGGGCGCCGGACGCCGCGCGCCGUCACCCUCCAGCCCCGAGCGUUGAUGGGGUACGGUACGCCGCGCGGCGCCACCCUCCCGCCCCGGGCGUCGGCGGCGUCGACCACCCGCCCUCCACGAGCAGCGGCGCCCACAGGCUAGUGAAGGUGAAGGAGGAGGUGGAGGAGGAAGCCCCGCAGCGCGCUGUGCCGGCGUCGGCGCAGAGGGCGCGGGCGAGGCACAGCCGCCGGAAGGCCUCGGAGGACGAGCUGUGGCGGCCGCACAGCAAGGAGGAGGAGGUAGGUGCGGCCCCGCGGCCAGCGCGGGCGAGGAGGAGCGUGCGCAGGAAGGUGGCGUCGGAGGACGACGAGUUGUGGCGGCCGCACAGCAAGAAGCCGGCUGUGGCGGUGGCGUCCCCAAGGAAGAUGCGGAGGCUGUCGUCCCUGGGCGCUCCGAGCCAGCGAGGAGGGGGUGAGGAGGCGAGGAGGAGGAGGAGUAAGGGGCCGGGGGCGGGGCAGCUGGUGGUGGCGUGCGUGCCGGUGCGCGUGGUGUUCAGCCGGAUCAAGGAGGCGCUGCUGAGCCAGCCGCUCAAGUUGAAAUCAAAAUGA